GAGCAACAUAAAUAUGUCAAUAAAUUCUAAUGUUGGAAGCCUUAUGACUUGAAACAUAUUGCUGAAGCAUCCAUUAAAUGAAUAGGUAAUGCAUACAGAAGACAUGCAUUCCACCCUCCUAUUUAUUGAAAAUUUACCAAUAAGAAGUUUCUUCAGUAGAACACCCCCCACCCCCAAGUAAAUGUUUAAGGAGUGGAUAAUGUUGCCUGUAAAUAAAUAAUUAAAGAUAGUCGCAUAAUAUCAGAGUGAUUAGAAGGAGAAAGAAGACAGAACUAAUAGAUAAGUUAUAUGGGAGAUGAGUUUUCGUUCUUUUACUUACCUCAUUUAAUUUACUUGGAACUGAAAGGAACAUUGGUGCACAGAAUUGCAACUUAAGAAUGAUUAUUUCUCUUUGUAAUCAUCAUGGGCAAUUUUGUCUACAGAUAAAUGCAUUAAUUGCAGUGCGGGUAAGGAUGUUUAGGUGCGUUAAUAACUGCUCUCUUUUGUCAAUUGGAUUCUACUCCAUUCUUAAAUUUAUGCUGGUUUUCUGUCCAAUCUUUGCCCUUGCUUUCUAUUUUGCUCUCUGAAGUUACUUUGUAUUAGCAACCCUAACAGAACAAGACUGCUACGUGUUGUUUACUGGAUCCAUGACACAAAUUAGAACUUGUCCAUAUCAGUUUUGAAUUAGAAUUCUGUCAUUUUAAGUACAAUCAUGUAAUAGUAACAGAACAGGGCUGCUACAUGUCAUUAUCUGAAGAACAGAAAUUAGAACUUUUGCAUUUGAUUUCUUAUUAGCAUUGUCAUUUAAGUAAGUGUAAUUGCUUAUCAGGUUGCUGUCGCUCUUUCA
rnacentral:misc_RNA from 1 species